UAAACGGACAUAACAGUAGCCAACUCACAGAUGUACCAUGAAGAAUACAUGAAGUUGUGGGGAGAAUCACUGCAAGCCGCAUGACGCACCGGAGAAACCUGGCCCUGCCUGGGACCUGGGCAGGGGCUGGGACCCCCCCUACAAUGACACUAAUGGAAUUCCCAGCAUACUCGGCUCCAUGAAAGCAGGACCCUUGGGAGUCCUGUUCACAGUAGCAUCCCCAGCGCCUAGAGGGAGCCUGCUGCACUGUAGAAGCCCAGCAUAUCUUGGAUGAGUAGAUGAUGUCGUAUCAGCAACCCUGGGUCUGAAUUGCCAACUCCCACUGGGUAGACUCUACAUGCAGUAACAACAUCAACAUAUUAACUAAUUUCUGCAGUCCAUAGAAGGUGCCGGGCACCAAGGUUUCCCAAGCGUGCUCUUUUUAAUUUUCAUCACAGCCCCCUAGAGGUUUUAUACUAUCAUUAUUCCCUUUUUACAGAUGAGGAAACUGAGGCAAAAGACAUGAGGUGACCUGCCUGAGGCCACCAGCUUAUGGAUUCUGAACCCAGGUCUGUCUGAACUUUAAGCCCAGGCCUCUUUUCUCUGCCACACACCCCAGCAAGAAUGAAUAAAUAAACAAAAUAAAACAA
rnacentral:lncRNA from 1 species